UACGAGUAGCGCAAGUGUUACUCUCCUUGACUGGGCGUAAAGGGUGCGUAGGUUGUGUAAUAAGUUUUAAGUUAAAUUUUAUAUUGAUGAUAAUAUACUUUUAAUACUAUUACGCUAGAGUUUAUUGGAAGAUAAUGGAACUUCUAUACGCAGAGUUGAAAUACGUUAAAGAUAGAAGGAACUCCGCAGGCGAAAGCAAUUAUCUACGAUAGACUGACACUGAGGCACGAAGGCAUAGGAAUCGAAGCGGAUUAGGGACCCGCGUAGUCUAUGCUGUCAACCAUGAGUGUUAAAUGUUAGAUAUUCUAAUAUUACAGCUAACGCGUUAAACACUCCGCCUGGGUACUACGAUCGCAAGAUUAAAACCUAAAGAAAUUGACGGAGAUCUGCUACAAGCAGUGGAGCAUGUGAUUUAAUUCGAUACACCGCGAGAAAUCUUACCAAUCCUUGUCAUAUUAGAUAUAGAUAGUAGAUAUAUAGUAAUAUAUAAACGAAAAUUCUAUCUCUUUUUUAGUAUCAUAUAUAAUUUAUCUUUUUUAAUGAUAAAUGAACAAUUAUAUCUAAUACAGGUGUUGCAUGGCUGUCGUAAGUUCGUGUUGUGAGGCGUUAAGUUAAUUCUCAUCAACGAACGAGACCCUCAUUUAUAUUUAAGUAUUAUUAUACAAAAAAACUAUAGAUUUAGGGGAUGACGUCAAGUCAUUAUGGCCUUUAUGGAUUGGGCUAUCCAUGUGCUACAAAGGUAAUAACAAAAAGAAGCAAUAAUGUGAGUUGGAGCAAAUCUUUAAAAAUUAUCAAAUGUUCGGAUUGUUCUCUGAAAUUCGAGAACAUGAAGCAGGAAUUGCUAGUAAUCGUAAAUAAUAACGUUACGGUGAAUGUGUGUCCAGAUCU
rnacentral:rRNA from 1 species